GACGAACGCUGGCGGCGUGCUUAACACAUGCAAGUCGAGCGGAGCGGCGAACGGGUGAGUAACGCGUGAGUAACUGCCCCCCUCUCUGGGAUAACAGAUGGAAACGGCUGCUAAUACCGGAUAGUGGGGGAUGACUCGCGUCCUAUCUGCUUGUUGGUGGGGUAGUGGCCUACCAAGGCGACGACGGGUAGCCGGCCUGAGAGGGCGACCGGCCACAAGGGGCUAGGUGACGGCCCAAACGGCAACGGGAGGCAGCAGUGGGGAAGAUUGCACAAUGGGGGAAACUCUGAGGAAGAAACGCCGCGUGCGGGAGGACGGCCUUCGGGUUGUAAACCGCUUUCAGCCAUGACGCGGUAGUGGCAGAAGAAGCACCGGCUAACUACGUGCCAGCAGCCGCGGUAAGAC
rnacentral:rRNA from 1 species